UCCUCUCUUGCCUGAUGCCUGAAUGCCCCUCACUGCUAGAGAGAACUCAAGGUCUCAGGGAUGUGGCAGUUUUACAUUCCGUGGCUCUGUGUACUCAUAGCUUCUGUGGCUACAGACUCCAUAGUGACUUUGCUGGAGCAAAAACCAAGGUGGGCUAUAGUACGACGUACUCAAGCUGUGAACCUGAGCUGCAUCUUGAAGAAUUCCAACUAUCCCUGGAUGAGCUGGUAUCAGCAGGAUCUCCAAAAGCAACUACAGUUGCUGGUCACUCUGAGGAGUCCCGGGGACAAAGAGGUCAAAUCUCUUCCUGGUGCUGAUUACCUGGCCACACGGGUCACUGACACAGAGCUGAGGCUGCAAGUGACCGAAAUGAGCCAGGGCAGAACCUUGUACUGCACCUGCAGUGCAGACACAGUAGUAAACUCUGCUAGGGCAUUGGAACAGAAACCACACACAGACUGCCUUGCCUUCCAACCUUUGAUCCUCUGCAAACCCUUCUGA